rnacentral:rRNA from 1 species
AUGAGCUGGUGGUGGGCGGGCGCGGUGGGCGCCGUCAAGAAGAGCCAGGACGAGCGCGCCGCGUCCUCCUUCCAGAGCGUCGCCCUCGUCGUCGGAUCCACCGGCAUCGUCGGCACCUCGCUCGUCGACAUACUCCCGCGCCACGACACCCCCGGCGGGCCCUGGAAGGUGUACGCCGUCUCUCGUCGCCCGCUGCCUCCGUGGUCCCCGCCGCCCUCACCUGCCGUCACGCACCUGCACCUCGACCUGGCCGACCCUGUCGCCGUAGCGGAGGCCCUCACGCCGCUCACCGACAUCACCCACGUCUUCUACGCCGCGUGGUCCAGCCACCCGACGGAGGCUCAGAACCGGGAGGCCAACUCCGCCAUGCUCCGCAACAUGCUCUCCGUCGUCGUCCCUGGCUGCCCCGCGCUCGCCCACGUCUGCCUCCAGACCGGCCGCAAGCACUACAUCGGCCCGUACGAGGCUAUCGGCAAGAUCCCCAUCCCAGACCCGCCGUACACCGAGGAUAUGCCCCGCCUGGAUUACCCCAACUUCUACUACGACCAGGAGGACGUCCUCUUUGAGGAGGUCUCCCACCGCGACGGCGCCGUCAGCUGGUCUGUGCACCGUCCCUCCGUGGUCUUUGGGUUCUCUCCACGGAGCGCCAUGAACGUCGUGGCCAGCCUGUGCGUCUAUGCUGCCAUCUGCCGCAAGGAGGGCGCUACGCUGAGGUGGCCUGGGACCAGGGUUGCCUGGGAGGGCUUCAGCGACGCCUCCGACGCGGAUCUCCUCGCCGAGCAGGAGAUCUGGGCAGCCGUCGAUCCGUUGGCAAAGAACGAGCCUUUCAAUUGCAGCAAUGGAGAUUUAUACAAGUGGAAGCAGCUCUGGCCGAUGGUGGCUGACCGAUUCGGGGUGGAGUGGACGGGGUACGAGGGAGAGGACAGCCGGUUCAUGCUCGCCGACGCCAUGGCCGGGAAGGAGGCGGUGUGGGCAGAGAUCCUCCAAGAGAACGAGCUUGUCACGACAGAGCUCCAAGAGAUCGCCAAUUGGUGGUUCCUUGAUGCCGUGUUCAAUGUCAAGAGUGAGCAUCUGGAUAGCAUGAACAAGAGCAAGGAGCAUGGAUUCCUCGGAUUCCGUAACACGGCUAAGUCCUUCAACGCAUGGAUUGAUAAGAUGAAGGCUUUGAAGAUUGUUCCGUGA